GAUGAACGCUGGCGGCGUGCUUAACACAUGCAAGUCGAACGGUGAAGCAGAGCUUGCUCUGUGGAUCAGUGGCGAACGGGUGAGUAACACGUGAGCAACCUGCCCUGGACUCUGGGAUAAGCGCUGGAAACGGCGUCUAAUACUGGAUACGAGACGUGGCCGCAUGGUCAACGGUUGGAAAGAUUUUUUGGUUCAGGAUGGGGUCGCGGCCUAUCAGCUUGUUGGUGAGGUAAUGGCUCACCAAGGCGUCGACGGGUAGCCGGCCUGAGGGGGGGAGCGGCGACACUGGGACUGAGACACGGCCCAGACUCCUAUGGGAGGCAGCAGUGGGGAAUAUUGCACAAUGGGCGAAAGACUGAUGCAGCAACGCCGCGUGAGGGAUGACGGCCUUCGGGUUGUAAACCUCUUUUAGCAAGGAAGAAGCGAAAGUGACGGUACUUGCAGAAAAAGCGCCGGCUAACUACGUGCCAGCCGCCGCCGUAA
rnacentral:rRNA from 1 species